rnacentral:tRNA from 1 species
AGUAGUUCAAUUGGUAGAGCAUCGGUCUCCAAAACCGAGUGUCGAGGGUUCGAGUCCUUCCUG